ACCGUUGCAAAAUCAACGGCAGGGCGUGAGAACCCUGAACUACAUAAUACGGCGAACAGUAGCACGCCUUUAACCCGUGCUAUUUUU
rnacentral:sRNA from 1 species